GCCUACGGGCGGCUGCAGUGGGGAAUCUUGCACAAUGGGCGAAAGCCUGAUGCAGCCAUGCCGCGUGAAUGAUGAAGGCCUUAGGGUUGUAAAAUUCUUUCGUCAGGGAUGAUAAUGACCGUACCUGAAGAAGAAGCCCCGGCUAACUUCGUGCCAGCAGCCGCGGUAAUACGAAGGGGGCUAGCGUUGUUCGGAAUUACUGGGCGUAAAGCGCACGUAGGCGGACUUUUAAGUCAGGUGUGAAAUCCCGGGGCUCAACCUCGGAACUGCAUUUGAAACUGGAAGUCUUGAGACCAGGAGAGGUUAGCGGAAUACCGAGUGUAGAGGUGAAAUUCGUAGAUAUUCGGUGGAACACCAGUGGCGAAGGCGGCUAACUGGACUGGUACUGACGCUGAGGUGCGAAAGUGUGGGGAGCAAACAGGAUUAGAUACCCCGGUAGUC
rnacentral:rRNA from 1 species